GGCCCCUGAUGACCAUCAUUGUCAUCACCCCACUGUAUCAUCAUUCAUCACCAUAAUCAUCAUCACCACGGGCACCAUCAUUAUCAUCAUAUCCACCACUAACGUACCCAUGUACCAGGGAGCUCCCUGGGUUAAUCCACCACCAGCGAUACCAGCAUCACCACCACAGUCAUUAUCAUCAUCUCCAUAUUAACCAUCAUCAUCGUCGUCGUCGUCGUCAUCGUCAUCAUCAUCAUCAUCAUCAUCAUCAUCAUCAUCAUCAUCAUCAAAACAGCACCACCAUCACAAAGCCCAUGGGCCGGGCGGGCCGCCGCAUCGGCUUAAUUUAUUAAGCUUAUUGAAAUAUUUGUAACGUUUGAAAUCUGUGGCGGGAGAUGGUGUCUGCCUAGAUCGACUGAACGAUAAUUUGUUCUAUUCGUUCUAUUACAAUCUUCGAAAUUACAAAUUUAAGGUGAAAAGAGUUCAAAACUACAAGCAUGGAAAAGUAUGCUACAUGUCUCCAAAAAUUGUUGAAGACGCAAUCCGGCUUCAGAGGUCAGAAUUGCAUUUCUGUCAGCACCUUGCUUCGACCCGUCAUCCCUAGAAGUCAUCAGCAGAUCCAUUCAGGAAGGAUGCUCUCUCCAAGCUUACUGCAUUGUAGGUCAUGUUGCACAGUGACUAAAUUCCAAAGAGGAAGGAUCAGAUCUCAAUCUUUCAGAAAAACGUCCACCUCCUCAUCAUUAUAUUCUACGUCUGCUGAUCCAUCUUUGGCACCAUCAAUAGUAACACAGGCGUCAAAGGUCUCCAGACCUGGAAGUCGUCAAAAGCUUGUCAUACUAGGCACUGGAUGGGGUAGCUACAGUGUCUUGAAGAACAUUGACAAGUCGCUAUAUGAUGUAGUGGUUGUUAGUCCCAGGAACCACUUUCUCUUUACCCCUCUUUUAGCGAGCACAACAGUUGGAACCUUAGAAUUCAGGAGUAUCAUUGAGCCAGUAAGGAACACAGGAUUUCGUCAGAGUGACCAUUUUCAUCUUGCGGAGGCUGUUAAAUUGGAUACAACGAAGAAGGUACUGUAGUUUCAGUCAGUGGCGUAAAUCCAUGACGUCGUACUAUUCAAGAGGAGGGAAUGACAAAAUAGUUCAUCCCCCCUGUACAAUAAGUUCACUUCUUGGAUUUACGCCAAUGGUUUCAGUCAUAUUUCAUUGGAAGGGGAGGGAUUUAUUUUAUCAAUUAUUUGAAUCAGGUUUUGGGGAGAGCUCACAGCCACAGUGAGCCUUCGACGCGCGAUACCCUCCAAAUGGCAUCGCUCUCAAUCAAAAUCCGAACUUUAGGGGCGACGUGGGCACCACAUCGAGAUAGUUGGAGGGGGCCUUAAUUUCUGCAACCCAGGUGUUCUGCACCAGGCUACCUUGACAGGGUGUUCAGAGAGCUACCUAAAGGAUAUGCUGUGGCCGUGGGUAUCCACCCAAAACAGGUUUGGCUAAAGAUAUAAUUUUGAGGCAUUGCUAUUAGCUCUUGCUAACGUGAGGGUCAGGGGCAUAUCGGAGGAAUGCCUUGACUUGUCAAUGGAUGAUUCUAAGGGGGAGGGGGAGCUCUUUCAGCAAUUCUUUGGGCUCUCCACAAAAAGACUCCUGGUCCUCUGAGUGGUCAGUGGCUCUCGACCAGGCAACGAGCGGUCUGUCCAUAAAGCCCAGCGCACACUGAUAAUUACGAUUGCACUAGGAUCCGAUUGCCACAAGUUAUCAAAUUCCCUCUCAGUGCAAUCAUAUCGCAGGCCAGUGCACACAUUGCAACAGCCCUGCAGCGAGCAGCUGCAUUUCAUGGCGCCUUUUCUUUUGCACAUAUGUUGUCUGCACUGUAGAAAUGCAGCAAAUUGG